rnacentral:lncRNA from 1 species
UUUUUUUUUUUUUUUGGUGCACAUUGGUGUUUUGCCUACAUGUGUGUUUGUGAGAGGUUGUCAGACCCCCUGGAACAGGAGUUAACUAACAAUUGGGGGCUGCCAUGUGGGUGCUGGGAAUUGAACCCAAGUCCUCUGGAAGAGCAGCCGGUGCUCAUAACCGCUGGGCCGUCUCUCCAGCCCCUUCGUAUCAACUCGUAUGCCAUCAAAGUAGUUCCUGAUUCAAGUAUGUGGGUAUCACAGGCCGGUGGUGUCAUUUUACUUGGAGAGAGUUCUGUUCCAGACGGUCAUUUGCCUCCCCAUCCGUUUUUUGUUUUAGCCAGUCAGAGAGCUAUAGUCCCAUCCCUCUGGAGGCCAAGGCAGGAGAGUCACGAGUUCAAGUCCAGCCUGGGUUAUAAAGCAAGACCCUCUUUCAAACAAAGUAUAACUAACACAUUAUUGUGUGUGGUUCAGAGUAGUUUGUAGUACAUUUCUAUAAACCACACAAAUGAGUAGUUAUUUUGUCUCAAAUGUUUAUCAUUGCUUUGUCUUGAGAAUAUUAAGAAAAAUUCUUUUGAUUAGGUAAUUUGAAAUAUGCAGUUAAAUUGUUACCCUGCUGUGUCAUAGAACAUUAGACAUUAUUUGUCCUACCGAAUAGUACCCAUCCAUGAACCCUCUGUUUCUUGCACCCAACUCCCACCACCUCUGGGCACCAUUAUUCCCUUUAUUUUGAAGUCAUUUUGUUUUCUCCCAUGUGUUCUUUGAGAACUUGUGGAAUUUGCUUUUCUGCAUGUCUUGCUUAUCACGAUGGCCUACAUUCCAUUCUUGAUAGACGGCCCACAAGAAAGCACCCUGGGAAAAUGACGAGGCAGAUGGGGAAAGACUCCCAGUUCUGGAUAAGGUGCCACCUGACUAUGAUUCAGGUUCUGAAGAGCCACCACAGGCUCCCCUGUCCUCUAGGAUACAUUGCUUCAGUGGGUUUGACUGACAACAGUAAGAAGCAAGGCAUCUCCAUCCCAGACCUCCAUCCCACCAUGGAAGCUUUAGUGACAGACAAGGGCACUGGCAUAGACAGGUGCAGCAGCCAAGAAUCAACAGGAUUUGGUCACUGACUCGAGGCAAGGCUGACUGGAGAAUUAAUUCCAGAUUUGUGGAUUGGGCAACUGAAGGGGAGAUAGCUUUAUGCACUGUGAUGGGGCAGUGACUCCGGAAGAGCAGGCAUGGGAGUCAGCAAGAGAGGUUCAGUUUUGGACUUGCUGAGCUUCAAGUCCCUGUUGGACAUCCAGGUGGAUGUUCAGUGUCCACUUAGGCCUGGAACUCUGGUGUGAGAAUGAAUGGGACUUGGGAAGGUUCAGGCCUUAGGACAGUUAAGGGCCAACAGUUGUAACAAAUGAAGUAAGAGUUGUUGAGAACAGUGGACUAAAUCAAGAGAAGCUCCCAGUGAUGGAGGAGGUUUCAAUGAAAUGAUAUUUGAUGUGCAUUAAAAUGAUGUCUGAAAAAAAUCUCAAAAACUUGAAUGUCUUUCCUACCAGAGAGGAACAAAGAGAAAUGUCACGCUCCAUAUUCCAUUGUGAAUCACACUUGUAGCAGAAAAUCAAGCGCUGCUUCUUGGCUAUGGUCUCAAAUGCAUUUCUCUGUGGCCCCUAACACCUACACCUUUCCUUGUGAAACAGCGUGAAGGAAUCCUCAUUUAUUAUCUCUCUCUCUCUCUCUCUCCCUCUCUCUCUCUCUCUCUCACACACACACACACACACAUACAUUACAUCCUGGCUGAAGUUUCCCCUCUUUCUACUCCCCCCAGCACCCCCACCAUCUUUCCUUUCUCCUCAGAUCCACUCCUCCAUUUCCUCCCCCAAAAAGAGCAGGCCUCCCAGGGAUAUAAACUGAACACAUCAUAACAAGUUCCAAUAAGACUAGGCACAGACCCUCAUAUCAAGGCUGGAUGAGGCAACUCAGGUGGAAAAGGGUCCCAAGUGCAGGCAAGAGUCAGAGACACCCCAGUUUCACUGUCAGGAGUCCCACAAGAACACUAAGCCACUCAAUCAUAACAUAUGUAGAGAACCUAUCUCUGACACAUACAGGAUCCAUUAUUCUCGCUGUAGACUCUGUGAGCCCCUAUGAGCCCCGCUUAGUUGAUUCUGUGAGCCUUGUUCUCAGCGUGUUCUUGACCCAUCUGCUGCAAUCUGAAAGGAACCUUUAAAUGCCAGCUUCCUGUUCCACUGCUCAGGAUGCAGAAUGUGUUUAUGAAAACUCCUCUGCUUGCUAGGCACCCAUUAAUUACUUACCAGCCUUGUAUCAAUACUGGACCUGUUGACCUAUGGGCUCUUUGGAAGUGGAAGACCAUCUGCCCAACGCUGCCAUUGUGGCGGCUUUUCCUCCAUCCAUAAUGAAAUCACUAAAAUCAUUUCCUGCUCCCAGCCCUUGUUCAGAUCUUCUAUCUACUGUCAAUAAGAGGAUAUUAAAAUGCUUAGUAAAGCUCAUAUGUCCUUUUCAUUCUGUCCCACAAGGCUUUGUGUUCUAGUGAUGGAAACAAUAAAUAACAGGUGACGUCAAGCCUAUUGUAAUAAAAGAAGGCUGCUUAU